rnacentral:lncRNA from 1 species
GUCAGAGCUAGGGAAAGCCAACUUGGCCAUCCAAGGGUCCCCAGAAGGAGCUUAGUUUGCUGCUGAAUCCUCCCCACCACCCCAGAAAAAAAAACGUGUGGUUAGUGGAUAGGACCUGUUCUCCCAUCCAGCAGGGCAUCCCAAGGGAGCAGAUAUUUCUAUUUUUUUUCCUAAGGUAAUUUUGUUGUAGCAGGAGGGAAUAUUUCUAAAACUUGGGUAGUGGGCCAGACCUUACUCGUGGACAAAUAGGAAAAGGAAAAUACAUAGUACACACACACACACACAAACACACACACACACACGGGAAGGGGGAGCACGAACCUUCUAUUUCCUUCUUUGCAAUUUGAGUGUCUGUUUCUCUACUUCCUGUCUCCUACCCCCAACUAUAUUCACACAUAACUCCAAGGACAGGAUUUCUUAUGACAUACUCACUAGUUAACUGUGCAGUAAUAUUGCACCUGGCUCUGUGAACAUCUUCCACAUAAAUAACACAUCUCACUUUCACAUAAAUCACUACCUGAUACACAUUUCAACCUGUGAUAUAUCUUUUUUCCAAGACGGAGUCUCGCUCUGUUGCUUAGGCUGGAGUGCAGUGGCGCGAUCUCGGCUCACUGCAACCUCCAGCUCCUGGGUUCAAGCGAUUCUCCUGCCUCAGCCUCCUGAGUAGCUGAGAUUACAGGUGCAUGCCACCACACCCAGCUAAUUUUUGUAUUUUUAGUAGAGACAGGUUUCACUAUGUUGGCCAGGCUGGUCUCGAACGCCUGACCUCAGGUGAUCCACCCACCUUGGCCUCCCAAAGUGCUAGUAUUACAGAUGUGAGCCACCGCGUCUGGCCAUCAACCUGUGAUAUAUCUCAAAUCCUAAAUAUACCCAAAUCCUGGAUAUAUACACACACACACAGUCUAAGUCAUACACACUGGGACCUAUGACACGCAUCCUGACCUCAAUACACACACCAAAACUGUGUUAUAACCCCUAAACCUGUGACAGCCUAUCACAUACACACCCCGAUCAUUUAUUAUGCAAGGACUUAACCUAUAAAUCACCCUCUCUGAAGCCUGCGUACCAUUCCUCAUCACAGCCUGGCCAUAGAAUAAACCCCAGCUUUCACAAACAUACUGAAAUCUAUAACAUUCAGCCAGACCCUGCAACAUACAGCCUAUCACCAGGACUUAAGACACUCCCACUGACUCCCAAAUUUACAGCUUAACUCUGGGGUAGUCCCACUUCUCCCCCACUGCCUUUAAACUUUCCAAAGUGCAUUCACAGGCAGUACCUCAAGAGAUCCUCAUAGCACAUAGGGCCAAAUAUCCUAACAGUGAGAUCCUAACAGAACCCACUGAGACAGGAUGACCAGGGUGGGCUGGGGGGUGGGGGGGUUGAACCCUGCACUUCUAAACCCACCAGAUACAAGCCAAGCCCUGCAGCCAUUCCUACUCCCUUCCCCCUCCAGGCCUCAAAUCACUGUCCUCAUGGGGAGGGGGAAAUGUGCUCUGGCUUUUGCCUCCAGCCCAGAGCUCAGAACCCCACACCCACCCUGUCUCCUCAGACAGGAGGGACUACAAGGGCCCUCCAGUCUCGCUGUGGGGUGGAGGGGCCCCUAAAUGCCAAGAUGUAUCGACUGGCAAACCAUUCAAAACAGGCCUUCUAGUUAUUCUCUAGCAAGUCUGCUCCUUUCUCUGCUCUGACCAGAUUUACCCAGUUGCACAGGGGCAGAACAGGUCCAGCUAAAAAGAGCAAGUCUGAGUUAGAAGGCCUUAGAAUUGGUGGUGAG